UUCUCCUUCUUGUCUUUCUUUUCUUUCUUGCUCGGCUUUUCUGAAAUGGUUUCAACAGUCUCUUCAACGUCAAUGUCAACCUCCUCGUCUCCGUCUAUGUUAACACUCGAUAAUGCCUUUUCAUAAGCUUCUGCCAUUGCAAUACUAUUGCGAGUAGGGGCGACACCGGUAUCGAAAAAGUUGAGACGUUCCUCGACUUGUCGACGAAGAACUUGACCAAAUGCCGUAGUUGGGGCAUCGCUAAAGUUAUCAAUACGGCUAGCAAUAGAACAUUUGUUAGCCAAGAAACGAGAGAUGCGGCCUUUGUUUUUAGCGCCAGCUUUUCCAAUAAAACUAGAAUGGUAAAUAAUACCGUAUUUAGGCGUGUUUCCACGGGUUUUCAGAGCACGGAACAAAGCCUUUUCAGCACCUAGAAUCUGUACCGUAGAAGCCGGGCAUUUUGACAAGUUAGUUAGACUUCCGGCAUGAGAAAUCAAACGAGCACCAACCAUCUCACCAAUUAAUUCAGCAAGAUUGGGAGCAACAACAUUCAUCUUCUGAACCAAAUAGUUAUGU